rnacentral:rRNA from 1 species
CCGGCACGGGUGGAGUAACACGUAUGCAAUCCACCUGUAACAGGGGAGUAACCGGAGAAAUCCGACUAAUACCCAUAAUAUGGGCGCUCCGCAUGGAGAGCCCAUUAAAGAGAGCAAUUUUGGUUACAGACGAGCAUGCGCUCCAUUAGCCAGUUGGCGGGGUAACGGCCCACCAAAGCGACGAUGGAUAGGGGUUCUGAGAGGAAGGUCCCCCACAUUGGAACUGAGACACGGUCCAA